UGAACUAAUGCGCCAUGCUUCUUCACUGCGUGGACCUGGAGUGGAUAUGGUUAUUGAAAUCUUGAAUGCCAUUUCAAAAAUAGGGUCUGGAGUUGAUGCCUCUUGCUCAUCCUUAGAUUCUCUUUGCUGCUCUGGCUCUACUCCUGUUCCCAUGGAAACUGAUGCUGAAGAAAGGUGCUCAGUUCCAGCAGAUGAUGGGGAAUCUAUCAGGAUGGAUAGUUCAGAGCAUCCCACUGAGCCAUCGUCAGAUGCUACAAUAGUGAAUGUUGAGUCAUUCCUUCCUGAUUGUGUAAGCAAUGCUGCUCGUCUUCUUGAAACAAUUCUUCAG
rnacentral:misc_RNA from 1 species